rnacentral:rRNA from 1 species
CCCUGAGCCAGGAUCAAACUAUAUACUAAGGCGCUCGAGUGAAUCAUGGCUAAGGAACUCGGCAAAUUAACCCUGUAACUUCGGGAAAAAGGGUGCCCAUAGCAAUAUGGGCCGCAGUGAAAUAGCGGUGGCGACUGUUUAUCAAAAACACAUGGCUUUGCAAAAUCGAAAGAUGAAGUAUAAGGCCUGACACCUGCCCAAUGCUGGAAGGUUAAGAGGAGAGGUUAGUAGUAAUACAAAGCUUUGAAUCGAAGCCCCAGUGAAUGGCGGCCGUAACAAUAACGGUCCUAAGGUAGCGAAAUUCCUUGUCGGGUAAGUUCCGACCUGCACGAAUGGUGUAACGAUCUCCGCUCUUCUCAGCCAUGAGCUCGGUGAAAUUGUAGUAUCGGUGAAGAUGCCGAUUACCCGCAUCGGGACGGAAAGACCCCGUGCACCUUUACUAUAGCUUAACAUUGACUUUGGAUAACUAAUGUGUAGGAUAGGUGGGAGACUUUGAAGCAGUGGCGCCAGCCAUUGUGGAGUCGUCCUUGAAAUACCACCCUUUGGUUAUUUGGAUUCUAAUCCCUCAAAAGGGGAGACAUUGUUUGGUGGGUAGUUUGACUGGGGUGGUCGCCUCCAAAAUUGUAUCGGAGGCUUUCAAAGGUACCCUCAGCACGCUUGGUAACCGUGCGUAGAGUGCAAUAGCAUAAGGGUGCUUGACUGUGAGACCUACAAGUCGAGCAGGGUCGAAAGACGGAUAUAGUGAUCCGGUGGUUCCGUGUGGAAGGGCCAUCGCUCAAAGGAUAAAAGGUACGCCCGGGAUAACAGGCUGAUCACCCCCAAGAGCUCAUAUCGACGGGGUGGUUUGGCACCUCGAUGUCGGCUCGUCACAUCCUGGGGCUGGAGAAGGUCCCAAGGGUUGAGCUGUUCGCUCAUUAAAGUGGCACGCGAGCUGGGUUCAGAACGUCGUGAGACAGUUCGGUCCCUAUCUGUUGUGGGCGUUAGAAAUUUGAGAGGACCUGACUCUAGUACGAGAGGACCAAGUUGGACAGACCUCUAGUGUACCUGUUGUGGCGCCAGCUGCAUUGCAGGGUAGCUACGUCUGGUCGAGAUAAGCGCUGAAAGCAUCUAAGCGCGAAACUCGCCUCAAGAUAAGAUUUCUUUUAAGGGUCGUAAUAGACUAUUACGUUGAUAGGUUGCAAGUGUAAAGGCAGUAAUGUCAAAGCUGAGCAAUACUAAUUACCC